rnacentral:lncRNA from 1 species
CAGAAAACAAUUGUAGGGGAAGUGAUUAUUGUGUGUGUGUGUACCAAAGUCCUUAAUAAGGCACGGGUCGAAAAAAAAAAAAAAAAAAAAAAGAAAGAAAAGUUGUGAAAAUGUAUGAAAAAGAGUUCUAAAGUGUUGUUUGUUGAAAAAGGGUCCAAAACAUUGAAUUCGGCCCUAAGUGUUGCUUAAAUCUUCCAUUUGUGUUAAAAGUUGAUUUCUGCAUUCUAAAGUGAAUUCUUAGUUUCGAUUUCAUUACUUUGCUUGCUAUUGCUUUAAGAACGUUUGUUAUCCCUAUCUUUCCUUUGUUAACCAUUACCCCAAGCCCCGUUACAACCCUUGACUUCUAUC